rnacentral:sRNA from 1 species
UCAGGGUCAGUGGGCAGCAGGCCUGCCUGGUGGUGUCUGUCUCUGGAGAGUGACUUGGUCUAUCGUUUGUUUCUGAAAAGCAAGAUAUCUGGGUAGUACUGGGUUGAGAGUGUGAUUAACCAAGGAGUAAUCUGAGGCUUGAUUUUGUUUGCUUAGAGCGGGGUGUGUGUUUGUCUGUGUCUGGUGUGUGUCUGAGGGGUUGUGCAGGCCCAAUGUGAUGUGUGGGGUGAGGCUGUCUCCGGGUGGGGCUGAGGAGCUGUCCAGUCGGGGGUCCUGUGUCUGAGGGGCAGGCUCUCUGUGUGGGUAUAGGUAGGCAUCAUGUGUCUUAAGGGCGGGCUGGGGUAAAGGUUGUCCAGGUUGGUGUCCUGUGUCUGGGGUCAGCUGUUUCUGGGGCAGUCUGAGGGGUCGUCCAGGUGGACUAAGGUAGUCUGGGGUGGGUGGUAUGAGCCUGAAGUGGGGUUUUUGAGAACAUGAGUGGAUUCUGAAGACAGGAGGGGCAGGCAGGUUGUGGUGGUCUCCCCUCACCUGUUUGUUGUCCCCACACCCAAUCCCCCAGGACAUGUUGGAGUUCCCAGCCCAGGAACUUCGGAAAUACUUCAAGAUGGGGGACCACGUGAAGGUGAUUGCCGGCCGAUUCGAGGGCGACACAGGCCUCAUUGUGCGGGUGGAGGAGAAUUUCGUUAUCCUGUUCUCUGACCUCACCAUGCAUGAGCUGAAGGUGCUCCCCCGGGACCUGCAGCUCUGCUCAGAGACAGCAUCAGGUGUGGAUGUUGGGGGCCAGCAUGAAUGGGGCGAGCUGGUGCAGCUGGAUCCCCAGACUGUGGGUGUCAUCGUGCGACUAGAACGGGAGACCUUCCAG